GAUGAACGCUGGCGGCAUGCCUUGCACAUGCAAGUCGAACGCGAAAGUAGGGGCAACCCUGCGAGUAGAGUGGCGAACGGGUGAGUAAUGCAUCGGAACAUUUCCAGUAGCGGGGGAUAACCUCGAGAAAUCGAGGCUAAUACCGCAUACGUCCUACGGGAGAAAGCGGGGGACCGCAAGGCCUCGCACUAUUGGAGUGGCCGAUGCCGGAUUAGCUAGUUGGCGGGGUAAAAGCCCACCAAGGCGACGAUCCGUAGCUGGUCUGAGAGGAUGAUCAGCCACACUGGGACUGAGACACGGCCCAGACUCCUACGGGAGGCAGCAGUGGGGAAUUUUGGACAAUGGGCGCAAGCCUGAUCCAGCCAUGCCGCGUGAGUGAAGAAGGCCUUCGGGUUGUAAAGCUCUUUCGGCCGGGACGAAAUCGCACCCUUUAAUACGGGGUGUGGAUGACGGUACCGGAAGAAGAAGGACCGGCUAACUACGUGCCAGCAGCCGCAGUAA
rnacentral:rRNA from 1 species